rnacentral:rRNA from 1 species
GACGAACGCUGGCGGCGUGCUUAACACAUGCAAGUCGAACGGUGAAGCUCCAGCUUGCUGGAGUGUAUCAGUGGCGAACGGGUGAGUAACACGUGAGCAACCUGCCCCUGACUCUGGAAUAAGCGCUGGAAACGGCGUCUAAUACUGGAUACGAGAAGGGUCCGCAUGGGCACUUUCUGGAAAGUUUUUCGGUUGGGGAUGGGCUCGCGGCCUAUCAGCUUGUUGGUGAGGUAAUGGCUCACCAAGGCGACGACGGGUAGCCGGCCUGAGAGGGCGACCGGCCACACUGGGACUGAGACACGGCCCAGACUCCUACGGGAGGCAGCAGUGGGGAAUAUUGCACAAUGGGCGAAAGCCUGAUGCAGCGACGCCGCGUGAGGGAUGACGGCCUUCGGGUUGUAAACCUCUUUCAGCAGGGAAGAAGCGAAAGUGACGGUACCUGCAGAAGAAGCACCGGCUAACUACGUG